GCCCAAAACCCUUCUCGCAUGUCUUAUCUUCUCCGAGCUCUGCUUCUGUAUAACCACAAGCACAAAAGUAUUUAGGGUUUUAUCCCAAUUCUGUACGUUGUAGUUGGGAUUUUGAAUUGGUUUAUUCACUUACUUUAAUUCCCGCUUAUAGCUGUCGGUCUUUUCAGUCUAAUUUCAUCAAAAACCAUAGAAAAUGGCUUCCUCCACUGCUCAGAUUCACGUUCUAGGCGGUAUUGGGUUUUCUUCGUCUUCCUCCAGAAAACCCAGUUUUUCAUUUUCGCCAAAGACUGUUUUCUUUGGUCAAAAUCUGAGGUCGCCAACGGCGGCUUUUCUGAGACACAGUAACACCACGAGGAGAAGGAAUAGCACUGGACCUUUGAGGGUAGUGAAUGAGAAGGUUGUGGGAAUCGACCUGGGUACUACCAAUUCUGCAGUUGCUGCUAUGGAGGGAGGUAAGCCGACGAUUGUGACAAACGCGGAGGGUCAGAGGACCACACCUUCAGUUGUGGCAUAUACAAAGAACGGGGAUAGGCUUGUGGGACAGAUUGCAAAGCGGCAGGCAGUGGUGAAUCCAGAGAAUACCUUUUUCUCUGUGAAGAGAUUUAUAGGGAGGAAGAUGUCUGAGGUGGAUGAGGAGUCCAAGCAAGUUUCUUAUAGAGUGGUAAGAGAUGAGAAUGGAAAUGUUAAGUUGGAUUG
rnacentral:misc_RNA from 1 species